rnacentral:rRNA from 1 species
UCCCUGCCCUUUUGUACACACCGCCCGUCGCUACUACCGAUUGAAUGGCUUAGUGAGGUCUUGGGAUUGGCUUCGGGGAGCCGGCAACGGCACCCUGUUGCUGAGAACUUGAUCAAACUUGGUCAUUUAGAGGAAGUAAAAGUCGUAACAAGGUUUCCGUAGGUGAACCUGCGGAAGGAUCAUUAAUGAAUUUUGAAAGGGGUUGUAGCUGGCCGUCUCUUKGGGGCGGCAUGUGCACGCCCUGAUCACUAUCCAUCUCACACACCUGUGCACGCACUGUAGGUUGGCUUGUGAUCGGAGUUACGGUCUUCAUUGACUUUGCUCUGGUUGGAGGCCCUCCUAUGUAUUAUCACAAACUACUUCAGUUUAAAGAAUGUACUCUUGCGUCUAACGCAUUUAAAUACAACUUUCAGCAACGGAUCUCUUGGCUCUCGCAUCGAUGAAGAACGCAGCGAAAUGCGAUAAGUAAUGUGAAUUGCAGAAUUCAGUGAAUCAUCGAAUCUUUGAACGCACCUUGCGCUCCUUGGUAUUCCGAGGAGCAUGCCUGUUUGAGUGUCAUGGAACUCUCAACUCUAUUUGCUUUUGUGAAUAGAGCUUGGAUUUGGAGGUUUAUUGCUGGUACUUGUGAUCGGCUCCUCUUGAAUGCAUUAGCUCGAACCUUUGCGGAUCAGCUAUCGGUGUGAUAAUUGUCUACGCCGUUGCAGUGAAGCAUAUCA